rnacentral:pre_miRNA from 1 species
UAUAUACUCCCUCCGUUCCGAAUUACUUGUCGCACGUAUGGAUGUAUCUAGAUGUAUUUUAGUUCUAGAUACAUCCAUUUCAGCGACAAGUAAUUUGGAACGGAGGGAGUAGGUU